rnacentral:rRNA from 1 species
AUGGCGGCCCAUGUCUUCUCCUCGGCCGCCGAGCCAUCGCUCCUUCGGCUGGCCGGAGAAGGCGGAAGCCGCCUCCGCGGUCAGUUCUUCUGCCCUUGCCCGGUGACAAGCCCUGGACGGGAGUCCCAAGCGCUCUCCGACGAUUUUGACUUCCAGGAGGGCCUCAAGAGUGUUAAGACAAUGCUGCAUCAAAACCAUAAGGACAAGCGAGAGGUGAUGACCAACAUUGAUCAUCUCAAGCGCCUCUGCAUUGACCACUAUUUCCAUGACGAGAUCGACGAGGCCAUGAACACAUGUUUGGAUCUUGUCCAUAGUGAUGAUCUACUAGAUGCGACCCUUUCCUUCAGGCUGGUGCGAGAAGCUGGAUAUGAUGUUUCAGCAGAUGAGGUUCUUCGAAAGUUCACCGACGUCAAUGGUGACUACACCCUUGAUCAUAGCAAAGAUACCAAAGGGUUGCUCAGCUUGCAGGAUAUAUCAAACUUGAACAUGGGAGAAGAAUCACUCUACAAGGCAAAGGAGUUCUCAAGAAAGCACCUCACAUCUGCGAUAGAACACUUGGACCCAAACCUUGCAAGAUAUGUGCGGAAGUCACUGGACCAUCCCUACCAUGUGAGCCUGAUGCAGUACAAAGCUAGGCAUCACCUGAGCUACAUGCAGAGCUUGUCCAGUACGGACACUAAAAUGCAGGAGCUGGCACUUGCAGAGUUCCAGCUUAAUAAGUUGUUGAAUCAGAGGGAAAUGCAAGAGAUUAAGAGAUGGUGGAUGGGCUUGGGAUUGGCUCAGGAAAUACCAGCUACCCGGGACCAAAUUCUCAAAUGGUACAUGUUUCCCCUGACUAUACUCGAAGGACAGGCCUUCUCCAGAUACAGGAUAGAGACUACAAAAAUCAUCUCACUUGUCAGUAUUGUGGAUGACAUCUUUGAUGUUAUUGCAACACAAGAGGAACUCUCUCGCUUCACCGAGGCAAUCAAAAUGUGGGAUCUUGCAGCUGCUGAUUCACUGCCGAGCUACAUGAGAUCAUGCUACAGUGCACUUUACACAAUCACAAAUGACAUUGCAGAUUUAGUUGAAAGAGAUCAUGGAUUGUACCCUAUGGAACAACUCAAGAAAACUUGGGCCAAGCUUUUUGAUGCAUUUCUGGUCGAGUCAAAAUGGUUGUCUGCUGAUCAGGAUCCUUCCUUAGAUGACUACCUAUCGAAUGGCGUCAUCACUACUGGAGCGCCACUUGCACUUGAGCAUCUGUUUUUCAUGCUAGGGCAUGAUCUAUCAACGAUGGGUUCUGCAAACCUCACGGCCGGUCAGAUACGUCCGAUCAUCUCCUGCCCGUCAAAAAUCUUGAGACUUUGGGAUGACAUGGGCAGCGCAAAGCAUGAAGCGAAAGAAGGGCUGGAUGGAUCGUACAAGGUUUUGUACGUGAAAGAGAACCCCAGUGGCGAUGCAGAGGGGCACAUGCUUUCGCUGAUCCAGAGCGAGUGGGAGGCGCUCAACAGGGAGUGCUUCUCCAGGCGGUCCUACUACCCGCCCAUCGUGACCCAGAUCUCGCUGAACUUCGCUAGGAUGGUGACCCAGUUUGGCUAUGACGACGAGCAGAGGCGCCCUAUCGUUGAGGAUUACCUAAGGAUGCUCCUUUUCUGA